UAAUACGUAGGUGACAAGCGUUGUCCGGAUUUACUGGGCGUAAAGAGCGCGCAGGCGGUCGAUCAAGUCGAGUGUGAAAGCCCCCGGCUCAACUGGGGAGGGUCAUUCGAUACUGAUCGACUCGAAGGCAGGAGAGGGUAGUGGAAUUCCCGGUGUAGUGGUGAAAUGCGUAGAUAUCGGGAGGAACACCAGUGGCGAAGGCGACUA
rnacentral:rRNA from 1 species